GUUCGAACGCGAAAGGGGCUUCGGCCCCUGAGUAGAGUGGCGAACGGGUGAGUAACACGUGGGUGACCUGCCUUCGAGUGGGGGAUAACGUCCCGAAAGGGACGCUAAUACCGCAUGACAUCCCGCCUUUGAAGUGGCGGUGAUUAAAGCUGGGGAUCGCAAGACCUGGCGCUUGAAGAGGGGCCCGCGCCCGAUUAGCUAGUUGGUGGGGUAAUGGCCUACCAAGGCUUCGAUCGGUAGCCGGCCUGAGAGGGCGGACGGCCACACUGGGACUGAGACACGGCCCAGACUCCUACGGGAGGCAGCAGUGGGGAAUUGUUCGCAAUGGGCGCAAGCCUGACGACGCAACGCCGCGUGGAGGACGAAGAUUUUCGGAUCGUAAACUCCUUUCGAUCGGGACGAAUCGUCUCCGACCUAAUACGUCGGGGGACUGACGGUACCGAGAGAAGAAGCCCCGGCUAACUCCGUGCCAGCAGCCGCGGUAAUACGGGGGGGGCAAGCGUUGUUCGGAAUUACUGGGCGUAAAGGGCGCGUAGGCGGCCUGCUAAGUCGGACGUGAAAUCCCUCGGCUCAACCGGGGAACUGCGUCCGAUACUGGCGAGGCUUGAAU
rnacentral:rRNA from 1 species